GUCUAUGGCCAUACCACCCUGAAUGCACCCAAUCUCGUCUGAUCUCGGAAGCUAAGCAGGGUCGGGCUUGGUUAGUACUUGGAUGUGAGACAAAUAAAUUUAUCUC
rnacentral:rRNA from 1 species